ACACGACUACAUUAGAUACCCGGGUAGUCCCAGCCCUAAACGAUGCGCGUUAGGUGUAUCGGUGACCACGAGUCACCGAGGUGCCGAAGGGAAACCGUGAAACGUGCCGCCUGGGAAGUACGGUCGCAAGGCUGAAACUUAAAGGAAUUGGCGGGGGAGCACAACAACGGGUGGAGCUUGCGGUUUAAUUGGAUUCAACGCCGGAAAUCUUACCGGGACCGACAGCAACAUGAAGGCCAAGCGGAAGACUUUGCCGGAUUAGCUG
rnacentral:rRNA from 1 species